rnacentral:rRNA from 1 species
GACGAACGCUGGCGGCGUGCCUAACACAUGCAAGUCGAACGGGGUGAUUCCUUCGGGGAUCACUUAGUGGCGAACGGGUGAGUAACGCGUGAGGAACCUGCCUUUCAGUGGGGGACAACAUUGGGAAACCGACGCUAAUACCGCAUAACAUAUACGAGAGGCAUCUCUUGUAUAUCAAAGGAGCAAUCCGCUGUAAGAUGGACUCGCGUCCAAUUAGAUAGUUGGUGGGGUAACGGCCCACCAAGUCGACGAUUGGUAGCCGGACUGAGAGGUUGAACGGCCACAUUGGAACUGAGAUACGGUCCAGACUCCUACGGGGGCAGCAGUGGGAAUAUUGGGGCAAUGGGGGAAACCCUGACCCAGCAACGCCGCGUGAGGAAGAAGGUUUUCGGAUCGUAAACCUCUGUCCUUAGUGAAGAGAAGAAGACGGUAGCUAAGGAGAAGCCCGGCUAACACGUGCCAGCAGCCGC